rnacentral:rRNA from 1 species
GACGAACGCUGGCGGCGCGCUUAACACAUGCAAGUCGAACGGAAAGGCCUGCUUUCCCUUGUGGAUUGCGGGUACUCGAGUGGCGAACGGGUGAGUAACACGUGAGUUAUCUGCCCCCAACUUGGGUAUAAGCCUGGGAAACUGGGUCUAAUUCCCGAUAGGACUGCAGGGUGGUGCCUGUGGUGGAAAACGAUUUUCUAGUGGUUGGGGAUGAGCUCGCGGCCUAUCAGCUUGUUGGUGGGGUAAUGGCCUACCAAGGCGGCGACGGGUAGCCGGCCUGGGAGGGUGGACGGCCACAUUGGGACUGAGAUACGGCCCAGACUCCUACGGGAGGCAGCAGUGGGGAAUAUUGCACAAUGGGCGGAAGCCUGAUGCAGCGACGCCGCGUGGGGGAUGACGGCCUUCGGGUUGUAAACUCCUUUCGACCGAGAGGAAGCCACCUGGUUGGAAGGGUGGUGACGGUAGUGGUAGAAGAAGCACCGGCUAACUACGUG